UACUGUUAGAAGGAAUUAUAUAUGGUUGGCAGUCAGAGAGCCAUAUUUAUUUAGUAACGGUCUUAAACUCAACUUGCCUUUCCAUUGAUGUACCUGGAUAAGUGAAACUAGACUACGUUUACCUGCUUGCUUAUUUAUGCAGGGGAGAUCUUGGCAGAGGCUUGCCCUAGGGGAGAGAGAUGUGGAGGCCAGAAAGAAACUCCAUGUGCAGUCCUUCGGAGAAAACUCAAUUCUUAUGUGGCCUUGGUCCAUCUCAUGCUCGCCUGGCACGAACACAAGAAAAGCUUUAGUCUCCCCGGCCUCCACUGAGUACCAAAGGCUGGCUCAGGAAUUACUGACUGGAAGAAUAUGAACAUGUAGUAACAAAAGACAGUAAUUGGGCCAAGAGAACAGAUACUAAAACCCCCACUAGAUGGAAGGAGAUAACUUCAUGAUAACAAUGAACACAGAGCCCCAAGAUUGGUUGGAAUUGGCAAGUUGAUGAUAUUAACUCCUGAUUAACCACCACCGACCGAUCAGAAGAAUGUCCACAAACUAAUCAAACCUCACAAGCCUCUUCCUUAAGGAUAAGGGAUCUUUAAAAACAUUUUCCCCAAAUGAGAUCUGAGGCCUUUAGAACAUUAGCUCCCCUCAUACACCUUGCUUGCCUUUCAAUAAAUGCUGCACUUUGUUUCACCACCACCUUGUCAGUAAACUGGCCUUACUGAGCUUAGGCAAAUAGACCCAAGUUUGUUUUGGUAACAUCAGGUUCCACUGAGACAUGGGCCAGAUCUUUAGUUCACCUAAACAUUCAUCAGCAGGAUCACAUGCCUGUGUUAAGCCAGGAGCUCAGAGUCUGGACAGGAAAGCAGGCUCAGGAAUAGACAAAUUAUAUCAGAAGGCAGUCUGUGCAAGCCCAGAAGGGAAAUCAUGAUGCCUGGGAUCCAGGAAUCAAGGAGGGUUGGGAGAAAGGGGAGAAGGCUUCACUGAGGAGGUGAUUUUGAACAAGAGUGGAACUUACCGCAUGAAAAAAACAGUUCUCCUUAAAGAAAGGAGCAUGUGCAAAGACCAGAGUGUAUCUGGCAGGAGGGUGUGGAAUCCAGUGUAGGGGCACUGAGUGUAAAUAUGGGGUUACAGGUGGUAUAGGUUGUGGCCACAUUAGGAGGCCGAUUGCAGGAUAAGCUAAGAUGCUCAGGCAGCAUCUGGGAGUGAGUCUGCCGAGAGGCGGUGCAGAGUGCU
ensembl:lncRNA